UAGCUUUUAUACGGUGAACUGCGAAUGGCUCAUUAAAACAGUUAUAGUUUAUUUGAUGGUCUCUCUUACAUGGAUAACCAUGGUAAUUCUAUGGCUAAUACAUGCGCACUGGCCACCUUCUCUGGAGGGGCUGUGUUUAUUAGAUACAAAACCAACCCACUUUGUGGAGUCGUGGUGAUUCAUAGUAACCGAACGGAUCGCAGUUGGCUUCGGCCCGCGAUGGAUCUUUCAAGUUUCUGACCUAUCAGCUUUCGACGGUAGGGUAUUGGCCUACCGUGGCAGUGACGGGUAACGGGGAAUUAGGGUUCGAUUCCGGAGAGGGAGCCUGAGAAACGGCUACCACAUCUAAGGAAGGCAGCAGGCGCGCAAAUUACCCAAUGAAAACAGUUUCGAGGUAGUGACGAGAAAUAACAAUACAGGGCAUUUUAUGCUUUGUAAUUGGAAUGAUGGGAAUGUAAAACCCUUCCAGAGUAGCAAUUGGAGGGCAAGUCUGGUGCCAGCAGCCGCGGUAAUUCCAGCUCCAAUAGUGUAUAUUAGAGUUGUUGCAGUUAAAAAGCUCGUAGUUGAAUUUCUGUCGUGGUCAGUCGGCGCCGCCUGUAUGGGUGCGCGCCUGAUUUGCCCACGACUUUCUUCCGGUAGCUUUCCGCGCUUAACUGCGUGUGUGGGUGUUCCGGAACUUUUACUUUGAGAAAAAUAGAGUGUUUCAAGCAGGCUUGUCGCCCUGAAUACUGCAGCAUGGAAUAAUAAGAUAGGACCUUGGUUCUAUUUUGUUGGUUUCUAGGACUAAGGUAAUGAUUAAUAGGGACAGUUGGGGGCAUUCGUAUUUAACUGUCAGAGGUGAAAUUCUUAGAUUUGUUAAAGACGAACUACUGCGAAAGCAUUUGCCAAGGAUGUUUUCAUUAAUCAAGAACGACAGUAGGGGGUUUGAAGACGAUUAGAUACCGUCGUAAUCUCUACCAUAAACUAUGCCGACUAGAGAUAGGGAAACGCCUACCUUGGCUUCUCCUGCACCUCAUGAGAAAUCAAAGUUUUUGGGUUCUGGGGGGAGUAUGGUCGCAAGGCUGAAACUUAAAGGAAUUGACGGAGGGGCACCACCAGGCGUGGAGCCUGCGGCUUAAUUUGACUCAACACGGGGAAACUCACCAGGUCCAGACAUGGGAAGGAUUGACAGA
rnacentral:rRNA from 1 species